UACGGGGGGGGCAAGCGUUGUUCGGAAUUACUGGGCGUAAAGGGCUCGUAGGCGGCCCACUAAGUCCGACGUGAAAUCCCCGGGCUCAACCCGGGAACUGCGUCCGAUACUGGCAGGCUUGAAUCCGGGAGAGGGAUGCGGAAUUCCAGGUGUAGCGGUGAAAUGCUUAGAUAUGACAUAGAACACCAAUUGCGAAGGCAGCUUGCUACACGGAUAUUGACUCUGAGGCACGAAAGCGUGGGGAUCAAACAGG
rnacentral:rRNA from 1 species